rnacentral:rRNA from 1 species
UACGUAGGGGGCAAGCGUUGUCCGGAUUUAUUGGGCGUAAAGAGCGUGUAGGCGGCUAGAUAGGUCCGUUGUGAAAACUCGAGGCUCAACCUCGAGACGUCGAUGGAAACCAUCUGGCUAGAGUCCGGAAGAGGAGAGUGGAAUUCCUGGUGUAGCGGUGAAAUGCGCAGAUAUCAGGAAGAACACCCGUGGCGAAGGCGGCUCUCUGGUCCGGUACUGACGCUGAGGUGCGAAAGCGUGGGGAGCAAACAGG